ACUUUUGUCCGGAAAGAAAACCUUUGGGCUAAUACCCUGAGGGGAUGACGGUACCGGAAGAAUAAGCACCGGCUAACUACGUGCCAGCAGCCGCGGUAAUACGUAGGGUGCGAGCGUUAAUCGGAAUUACUGGGCGUAAAGCGUGCGCAGGCGGUUCGUUAAGACAGAUGUGAAAUCCCCGGGCUUAACCUGGGAACUGCAUUUGUGACUGGCGAGCUAGAGUAUGGCAGAGGGGGGUAGAAUUCCACGUGUAGCAGUGAAAUGCGUAGAGAUGUGGAGGAAUACCGAUGGCGAAGGCAGCCCCCUGGGCCAAUACUGACGCUCAUGCACGAAAGCGUGGGGAGCAAACAGGAUUAGAUACCCUGGUAGUCCACGCCCUAAACGAUGUCAACUAGUUGUUGGGUCUUCAUUGACUUAGUAACGUAGCUAACGCGUG
rnacentral:rRNA from 1 species